GGACUGGUACGUUCGCCGUAAAACGCAACGGAUCGGAAAGGGAGAUAUCAUACACCCUAUAUUUAUUUUACCUUUGUUGCUUUGGCGGGCCGUCCUUUUAGGCGUCGGCCCCGGCUGAUCGCGCCCGCCAGAGGACCCAAACUCUUUUAUUAGUGAUGUCUAAGUACUAUAUAAUAGUUAAAACUUUCAACAACGGAUCUCUUGGUUCUGGCAUCGAUGAAGAACGCAGCGAAAUGCGAUAAGUAAUGUGAAUUGCAGAAUUCAAUGAAUCAUCGAAUCUUUGAACGCACAUUGCGCCCGCUGGUAUUCCGGCGGGCAUGCCUGUUCGAGCGUCAUUAUGACCAAUCAAGCUCUGCUUGGCCUUGGGGCCCGCUGUACCGGCGGCCCUUAAAACUAGUGGCGGUGCCGUCUGGCUCUAAGCGUAGUAAUACUUCUCGCUAUAGUGUCUAGGCGUCCACCCGUCAGAACCCCCA
rnacentral:rRNA from 1 species